rnacentral:rRNA from 1 species
GACGAACCGUGCGAACGUUAUUCGGAAUCACUGGGCUUAAAGCGCGUGUAGGCGGGGCGGAACGUCGGAUGCUGAAAGCCCCCGGCUCAACCGGGGAAGUGGCACCGAUACGACCGCCCUCGAGGGACGUAGGGGGACCUGGAACUUCCGGUGGAGCGGUGAAAUGCGUUGAGAUCGGAAGGAACGCCCGUGGCGAAAGCGAGGUCCUGGACGUUUUCUGACGCUGAGACGCGAAAGCCAGGGGAGCGAACGGGAUUAGAUACCCCGGUAGUCCUGGCCGUAAACGAUGGGCACUGGGUAGGGGGCUCGCCGAUGGGCUCCCUGCCGAAGCGAAAGCGUGAAGUGCCCCGCCUGGGGAGUAUGGUCGCAAGGCUGAA